rnacentral:rRNA from 1 species
AACGAACGCUGGCGGCAGGCUUAACACAUGCAAGUCGAGCGCCUCGCAAGGGGAGCGGCAGACGGGUGAGUAACGCGUGGGGAUCUGCCUAGUGGUACGGAACAACUCAGGGAAACUUGAGCUAAUACCGUAUAAGUCCUUCGGGAGAAAGAUUUAUCGCCAUUAGAUGAACCCGCGUCUGAUUAGCUAGUUGGUGAGGUAACGGCUCACCAAGGCGACGAUCAGUAGCUGGUCUGAGAGGAUGAUCAGCCACACUGGGACUGAGACACGGCCCAGACUCCUACGGGAGGCAGCAGUGGGGAAUAUUGGACAAUGGGCGCAAGCCUGAUCCAGCCAUGCCGCGUGAGUGAUGAAGGCCUUAGGGUUGUAAAGCUCUUUCGUCAGGGAAGAUAAUGACGGUACCUGAAGAAGAAGCCCCGGCUAACUUCGUGCCAGCAGCCGCCGUAACAC